rnacentral:rRNA from 1 species
GCAUAUCAAUAAGCGGAGGAAAAGAAAAUAACAAUGAUUCCCCUAGUAACUGCGAGUGAAGAGGGACAAGCUCAAAUUUUAAAUCUAUCGGGUUUUACCUGAUCGAGUUGUAAUUUGAAGAUGGCGUUUUCUGUGUUUCUGAUCAGUCCAAGUCCUUUGGGAUAAGGCAUCAUGGAGGGUGAGAAUCCCGUUCGGUUGAUCAGAUUCGCUUUACGAUACGUUAUCAAAGAGUCAAGUUGUUUGGGAUUGCAGCUUAAAAUGGGAGGUAAAUUUCUCCUAAGGCUAAAUAACGGCGAGAGACCGAUAGCGGACAAGUACCGUGAGGGAAAGAUGAAAAGAACUUUGAAAAGAGAGUUAAACAGUACGUGAAAUUGUUGAAAGGGAAACGAUUGAAGCCAGUCGUACCUUCGGGUAAUCAGCCUUUUGGGUGUGAUUUUGUGGAGCGUGAAGAGUUAAACGCCUUCAUGCCUGCAUAUUCGUGCACUUUGGGUGUACUUGCCCGUAUGGUUGGUUAACAUCAAUUUUGGUGGUCAUAAAAUGACUGGAGGAAUGUAGCUUCGAUCUUGUAUUGAAGUGUUAUAGCCUUCGGUAGAUGUGAUGAUCGAGAUUGAGGAUUGCAACGGAUACCCUUCGGGGCUACCUGUCUGGUCUCUGAUCG